CGGGUGAGUAUAAUAUGGGUAUCUGCCUUUUGGUUUGGAAUAACACGGGGAAACUUGUGCUAAUACCGGAUAAGCCUUUACAGGGAAAGUUUUAACGCCAAAAGAUGAGCCCAUACUUGAUUAGCUAGUUGGUAAGGUAAUGGCUUACCAAGGCUACGAUCAAUAGCUGAUCUGAGAGGAUGAUCGGCCACAUUGGGACUGAGACACGGCCCAAACUCCUACGGGAGGCAGCAGUGGGGAAUCUUGCACAAUGGGGGAAACCUUGAUGCAGCGAUGCCGCGUGAGUGAAGAAGGCCUUUGGGUUGUAAAGCUCUUUCGUCGGGGAAGAAAAUGACUGUACCCGAAUAAGAAGGUCCGGCUAACUUCGUGCCAGCAGCCGCGGUAAUACGAAGGGACCUAGCGUAGUUCGGAAUUACUGGGCUUAAAGAGCUCGUAGGUGGUUAAGAAAGUUGGUGGUGAAAUCCCAAGGCUUAACCUUGGAACUGCCACCAAAACUUUUUGACUAGAGUAUGAUAGAGGUAAGUGGAAUUUCUAGUGUAGAGGUGAAAUUCGUAGAUAUUAGAAAGAACACCAAUUGCGAAGGCAACUUUCUGGAUCAUUACUGACACUGAGGAGCGAAAGCAUGGGUAGCGAAGAGGAUUAGAUACCCUCGUAGUCCAUGCCGUAAACGAUGUGUGCUA
rnacentral:rRNA from 1 species